AUUGAACGCUGGCGGCAUGCCUUACACAUGCAAGUCGAACGGCAGCACGGGGGCAACCCUGGUGGCGAGUGGCGAACGGGUGAGUAACACAUCGGAACGUGCCCAGUAGUGGGGGAUAGCUCGGCGAAAGCCGGAUUAAUACCGCAUACGACCUACGGGUGAAAGCGGGGGAUCGCAAGACCUCGCGCUAUCGGAGCGGCCGAUGUCAGAUUAGGUUGUUGGUGGGGUAAAGGCCACCAAGCCGACGAUCUGUAGCUGGUCUGAGAGGACGACCAGCCACACUGGGACUGAGACACGGCCCAGACUCCUACGGGAGGCAGCAGUGGGGAAUUUUGGACAAUGGGCGCAAGCCUGAUCCAGCCAUGCCGCGUGCGGGAAGAAGGCCU
rnacentral:rRNA from 1 species